UACGGGGGGGGCAAGCGUUGUUCGAAAUUACUGGGCGUAAAGGGCUCGUAGGCGGCCAACUAAGUCAGACGUGAAAUCCCUCGGCUUAACCGGGGAACUGCGUCUGAUACUGGAUGGCUUGAAUCCGGGAGAGGGAUGUGGAAUUCCAGGUGUAGCGGUGAAAUGCGUAGAUAUCUGGAGGAACACCGGUGGCGAAGGCGGCAUCCUGGACCGGCAUUGACGCUGAGGAGCGAAAGCCAGGGGAGCAAACGGG
rnacentral:rRNA from 1 species